GGAAGGAUCAUUCACACAUUGGUUAUCUGAUACUUUUACCAUGAACUCGUGUCUCACUUAGUGCAGUGUUGCACGGCCCCCUGGCGUCCCAUGGCGUCCCAGGGUGGUUUGGUGGGACGAUGGCUCACUUAACAAGGAUUUGACGACAAACUAGAUUGUCAAACUUUCAGCAAUGGACGUCUUGGUUCCCAAUUCGAUGAAGGACGCAGCGAAUUGCGAUAAGCAGUGCGAAUUGCAGAAAUCUGUGAACCAUCAGACCUCUGAACGCAUAUGGCACUUAUGGGACCCGUUCUCAGAGUGUGCUUGGCUCAGUGUAUCCUAACCUUCACAACAAAAUUUAGGGCUGACGUCGUGGUUCACGGUGCACGCAAUGUGCACGUGAUAUUCCGUCGCCAAUGAAGAUAAAACUGUAGUUCUCUGCAUUUGAGGUUGAGAUAUCUGUAUCACGUCACAAAUUGCACGGUUCACCAGUUUAAGAAUAUUCAUUCUCUUUAGUUACCUGAGCUCACGCAAGGCAACCCGCUGAAUUUAAGCAUAUAAUUAAGCGGAGGAAAAGAAACUAAGCAGGAUUCUCUUAGUAGUGGCGAAUGAACAGGGAAGAGCCCAAAAUGAAAAUCACGUGCAUGCUGUGCGCGAAUUGUAGUCUGAAGAAGUGUUACCAGUGGGCGUCGCAGAGAAAAGUCUCUUGGAAGAGAACGCCAGAGAGGGUGAGAGUCCCGUCGCGGCUCUGCAGUGCGUCUACAUACGGAUCACUUUCUUAGAGUCGCGUUUCUUGGGAGUGAAACGCAAAGUGGGUGGUAGACUUCAUCUAAGGCUAAAUAGCAAAUGGGAAACCGAUAGCAAAUAAGUACCUUGAGGGAAAGAUGAAAAGGACUUUGAAAAGAGAGUUAAAAUUCCCCGAAAUUGCUGAGAAGUAAGCGGUUGAAAUGCGAGUACAGCCUUGGAAAUAUGUCGCUGGAACGUAGGCUUCCUGGUGCACUCACGUAAAGGAAUGCACUUUGAAGUUGACCGAAGGUUGCGGAUUUCCAGGAGGAAUCAGCUGCGGUUGGUACUGCUGCGUGAGCUACUUGAUCGAACGUGUUCUUCGGAAUCGUUGCAGCUUGUGACUCUUUGCGAGCGGUAUCUGACCGAGGGAGGCGCACUUCUUGGUGCUGCGUAGCUGAUCAGAAAAUUUCCACCGGCCCGUCUUGAAACACGGAUCAAGGAGUCCAACACAUAUGCGUGUCUGCAGGUAGACUAUCCUGUAGGCGAAAUGAAAGUGAACGGUUCCGUCCAGGAACGACCGACCACGAUCGCCGAGAGAGGUUUGAGUACGAGCAUAUCUGUUGGGACCCGAAAGAUGGUGAACUAUUCCUGAAUAGGGUGAAGCCAGGGGAAACCCUGGUGGAGGCUCGUAGCGAUACUGACGUGCAAAUCGUUCGUCAAAUUUGGGUAUAGGGGCGAAAGACUAAUCGAACCAUCUAGUAGCUGGUUCCCUC
rnacentral:misc_RNA from 1 species